rnacentral:lncRNA from 10 species
AUGGGGAGACUGUGGCUCAAUGAGGUCAAACAAUUUGCAGUCAGGGAGUAGGGAUGCUUUGAAUAUGGCCAUCAUCUCACUGGCUCACUGUGAAAAAAUAAACUGGAUCAAAGCUAUACUCAACUUCAAGAUGACUGUUCACUGAGAAAUGUGAAAUUAAUAUGAAAUAUGAAAGAAAACUCUUACUAUGUAAAUGAAUCACAGAAUCCAAGAAAGAUGUGCCGGAUGGGAACUAGAGGUCAUCUAGAUUGCAUUCUGUCUAAUCAGAUCAUAUGAAGAUUAGUGUAACAGCCUGGACCCUUUGUCAUUAAAGCUAUUUGACAGAAAGCACCUCAGUGGUUCAUGACUUCCAAGCAAAAUG